AUUGAACGCUGGCGGCAGGCCUAACACAUGCAAGUCGAGCGGAGCGGCGGACGGGUGAGUAAUACCUAGGAAUCUGCCUGAUAGUGGGGGAUAACGUUCGGAAACGGACGCUAAUACCGCAUACUAGCAGAUGAGCCUAUGUCGGAGUAGCUAGUUGGUGAGGUAAUGGCUCACCACGGCUACGAUCCGUACAUGGUCUGAGAGGCUGCUCAGUCACACGGGAACUGAGACACGGUCCAGACUCCGACGGGAGGCAGCAGUGGGGAAUAUUGGACAAUGGGCGAAAGCCUGAUCCAGCCAUGCCGCGUGUGUGAAGAAGGUCUUCGGAUUGUAAAGCACUGUAAGUUGGGAGGCGUUACCGACAGAAUAAGCACCGGCUAACUCUGUGCCAGCCGCCGCGGUAAUUC
rnacentral:rRNA from 1 species